CUACAAGAUUCUUCACCUCUUCAGUGGUUGUUUUGGCCCCUCACCCCCAAAAAAGAUGGCCCUGAUUAUCCACCUCUAAAAGCCCUGCAGGUGAAAUCCAAAGAGUCAGAGCGUAGUAGGUACUUAAGCUAUAUUCCCUUACUUUUCCACCAGAGACAACACAUAUUUUUUCAGGCUUUGUGAACCUUUUGCAAAUAACAAAUGCUUUGUUCUACUUUGGGAAUCCUGAAGUCCCAGACCUUCCCUCUAAGUCCCAGGCAUUGUGCUCAGCUAGGCAUAUAAUAGUGAACCAAAGAACUUGAACCCAGCUCUUACAGUCACCUGACAAACUCAAGAAGAUGAAUACUCUUUGAGCAAAUGCAGUGAACCAGUCAGUAUAAGUUUCCUAGUCUCUUCCAGGCACAGGAGUCUAUCAUGUACUC
rnacentral:lncRNA from 1 species